GACGAACGCUGGCGGCGUGCCUAAUACAUGCAAGUCGAACGCAUUUUCUUUCACCGUAGCUUGCUACACCGAAAGAAAAUGAGUGGCGAACGGGUGAGUAACACGUGGGUAACCUGCCCAUCAGCGGGGGAUAACACUUGGAAACAGGUGCUAAUACCGCAUAAUUCCAUUUACUGCAUGGUAGAUGGAUGAAGGGCGCUUUUGCGUCACUGAUGGAUGGACCCGCGGUGCUUUAGCUAGUUGGUGGGGUAACGGCCUACCAAGGCUGCGAUGCAUAGCCGACCUGAGAGGGUGAUCGGCCACACUGGGACUGAGACACGGCCCAGACGCCUACGGGAGGCAGCAGGAGGGAAUCUUCGGCAAUGGACGCAAGUCUGACCGAGCGACGCCGCGUGAGUGAAGAAGGUUUUCGGAUCGUAAAACUCGGUUGUUAGAAAAGAACAAGGAUGAGAGUGGAAAGUUCAUCCCUUGACGGUAUCUAACCAGAAAGCCACGGCUAACUACGUG
rnacentral:rRNA from 1 species